rnacentral:lncRNA from 1 species
UGGUUUGACCUGAAAAUCUUGUCAAAAUAAUAGAUUAGAAACUUCACGUGUAUUCAAGGAUAAAAUUACCUCAGUUAGAAAUAUAAGAACAUAUUGGAGAAUUACCUUAUUAUAUAAGGAUAAAUUGGGUCAUUAACCCUUGUACUAGAUCACCUGCAUCAAUUUGAAUCGACUUCAAAUGGAAGAUUUCUUAAACCAUUCUACAAUCACCAAUUAUGAGCUUUAAGUAUGAGUUCCCAUCCCAAAUAAUUUCAUUCUCUUUCCAUUAGGCCAAGAUGUUUCUAUAAAUUAAGCUUUAAUUUGAAUUCAGAAUUUAACCUUUUUCUAUAAAUCAAUUCCCAGCACCUUGUUGCUAAAAAUAAAUCAUCAUAUAGAAAAUAAUGGUUUUCUAAACCAAAUCAAUAAAAGCAAUAAUUUCAAAAUCAUAAUUGUUGUUGGCAGCUGGAACCACUAUAAUCUAGUGAGAUUAGAGCCAUGUUCAAGUGACAAUGAACUGAAAGCAAUAUAUGCAAAGAGAUAGGAGCAAUUUUCAACUGCAAUAUGUACUUACAUCGUCAUCAUGUGUAUUGCUGAAUGAACCACUGCUGCAUGUGUCUGUCAAGUCCUCAAAGUCACUGCCUCCAUGAACAUUUUCACCUUCUGGAUUCCAUAUAUAACGGCUCAAAAAAUAACUCGUGUCAUGUGCUUCUCCCGAUGGAAUGAACAUAGCCUGGAGAGAAUAAGAGAACUUACUAAGUGUUCAGAUAUGAUGAUAACUACUAUUAAAAAAAAAAAAAACAUGACUUCGAGAUAUUUAAAAAAUAAAACUGAGACAACCUUUUGCCUUGCAAGCGUUUCCCAAUUUAUGUCUCUAAAGAAAGAAUGGUUCUUAACCUGCCGGAAAAUUGACCUGUUUAAUUUUCAAAUCAUUUCUGCUUGCAAAUAAGUCUCAUCAGUGACCAUAAAGAGUUUACCUCUCUAGCUCCUAUUGCUCCUAACCUUUGAAGUGGAUUUUCUGUCAACAAUCUGAAAGUGACAUUAAGGUAGAAAUUUAAUGGUUUAUAAAUUAAAGGAGGACCUUGAUAGUACCAAAAACAUAAUUUACAUAUGGUACCAAUGGAAUUGAUUCCAAUAUAUGAAAGAGCUUAUGAUACAGAGAGAAGCCAACUGUCCUCGCUUAUGCUUGUAGGAAACACAAAUAAUCUUGUGAAUGCAAUCAUAUGCUUCAAAGACCAUUAUAUCUUGAAAGAAGUAGCACAAGUUACAUCUAGGGAUUUCACACAAUCUUACUUGUCAAUCAAAUCACAGGCAUCAAAGCUCAUCUCUUCAGGAACCCUGGGCCAGGGUAUAUCUCUAUUCAUUACGUUGUCAAAUAUUUUCUGCAAGAAAUAUGGCCUAUUAGUAUGACAUCAAGCUACUCGCAUAAAAUGUUCUGAAACUAAAAGGAACAGUUUCUCCAAGAAGGUCAACAUAUUAUGUUCCAAUUUGAAGGAUAAAAAAGCCAAAGAUAGUUUAAAAAACAAUAUAUUAAAGAUCUCUAUGCCAUAUCCAUCUAACACUCUUUGCAUGCAUACAACUUAGGAGUAAAUAUAUUAGAAAUGGUAACUUAUGACAUAACAUGCUCCACAGUGGUGUAUAAAAGGUACAGUCCAUAUUCCAUUUUAACAAAAUAGGAAUAGACAAAUGGUUAGAAGCACAGCAAAAUGUUAGGAAAGUAACUACAACCAAGUUAGUAACUUAACCAAUAUCAACAACUCGAACUAAAUAGAAGAAUUAAAAAGGAGAAUAACCAAAUUCAGUCUGCUGACCAAAACCAUUCAUAAGGUUCGGAUGACCUACCUGUGGAGUAUCUGCAUUGAAUGGAGGUAUACCAACAAGCAGCUCGAAAAGAAUAAUACCCACAGACCACCAAUCAGCAGUUGCACCUGCAAGAAGGUAAUGUCCGAUGAUGAAAAACAUAUAAUAAAUAAAUAAGUAAAUAAAACAGAACCAUGCAUCAUACAUGCACUAUCAAAGUUAAGAAAAGAAAAUUGCUAACCAUGGCCCAUGCCGAGAAGUAUCUCAGGUGCCAAAUAAUCAGGAGUGCCAGCAACUGAAUGCUUUUGACGCUCUUCUCUCUUGGAUGACGAUUGACCCUUUAGUUCAUCAUCAUCAAGAAAACCAGAACUACUGACUAACGGAACAGAUAAGUCAUCUGUACUGUUGAUAAGACCAACUUUUGAUAGCCCAAAAUCUGUCAACUGUAGCAGAAUGGACAUUUAGAAGAAAACAAUUAAAAUACUAUAUAAAACAUCUUUUAAAGCACAGUGAGUGUUCUUCAUAGAUGUAAUAAUCUAUUAAACACUCUAGUCCAAAUAGUGAAAGCAUUGUUUUAAUGUUCUUUGCAGUAAAAUACAGGAUGAUAAUUCAGCAUUCUUGAAAGUAUUUGUUAAAGGAACACAAAGAAGAAACAUAGAAAAACUAGUUGGCAAAUUGAAUAACUAUACGGAAUAAUGAUCAAAUAAAAUUCAAUUUACAAAAUAAUAAUUGCAUCCAAACUAACAACACCAAUUAAACAUAUUUUAGUAGUGGACCUAGCAUGAAGAGAUGAUUCUCAUCUGGUCUACUGCAUGCCUAUUCUCUUGAACAUACUAUAUACCUUUAACCUCAACGAAGACUCCAAUACAGUAUCCCUUGAACACUAAUCACGGUCAUGACAGAUUAGGCAAAUCCAUUUUAGCCUUCUAUAUAAACUUGAAUAUUUGUCCGACACUUCAUCAUGCCACAGAAUGAAACUCUUGUUACCUUUGCUCUUUCUAUGGAUCUCUCAUAAGCAGUGGCAUACAGCUAUUAUUUUGAAAACCAUACAAAAAUAUUCUUAUAUUAAAAUCCAACAAUCUACCAUCAAAUAUGGAACCUAUAACUCAAUGCGCAAUAACAAUAUAAUGUUACCAAAACACAUGAAGCCUGUAAUACCCAGUUAUGGUCCUAAUGGAAUGUAAGAUUCUGGGAGGUAGAAUAUGAAGACAGAACUUUCUUCGGCAUUUCUAUUUUCUAAAUGAAACAUUGAGCCAAGAAAACUUCUCUCUACAUGCAUGCCCAUGUGUUUCUAAUAUAGAGAUGUGUGCACAAAGACAGACACAUAUGACUUUUGAAGAAGUUUCCUUUUCCACCUAGGUGAUGGGAAAUAAAAAAAAAACCUUCAAAUUUUCAAAAUAUCAACCUUGAUGUGACCAUCUUGAUUAAUCAACAAGUUGUCCGGCUUCAAGUCUCUAUGAAUGACAUUUGAAGAAUGCAAGUACUCCAAAGCAAGAACCUGGGAAAUAGAAAACCAACUAUUUGUACCAUUUGUUAGAAAGUUUUAUAAAUUGAUAUUUGAACGAAAAGGCCAUAGAUACAGGUAUGCAAAGAAGCCCUUACAACUUCUGCAAUAUACAUACGGGCCAUGUCUUCAUCCAAGCAGCCCAAGUUUCUCAAUAAAGAGUACAGAUCUCCACCAUUUAGAUACUCCAUGACCAGAUAAAGAUUUUCACUGCAUGUGAAGGAGUAGAAAAAUCGAACCUGUACAAUCACAGACAUUAGAAUAACACGCUUUCACAUGCAAUACUCCCAUAAAAUGGGUAUAUAUGAUACGACGCAUGCUCACCACAAAAGGAUUGCACACUGAUAUGAGGAUUUUACGCUCUUCCAAAAUACUUUCAACUGCAUUUUUACAAAUCAUAUCAGCCUUCCUCAGGACCUGGAAAAAGUAUUCAGUAAAUAAUCAUUACAUCAAGAAAAGACCACAUUUAACCUUUUACAGGCAUUUAAUUCUCCCAAGCUUGCAAAGAUGCGUAUACAUUUACAAGCAGGCUGGGUUAUGUAUAAUUGUAAUGGUAAUCUGAAAGCAGUAGCUCAAAUUUACUUUUCAGCAUUCAAUUUCAUCAGCAAAACUGGGUUUUCCCAAUGAAACAAGAGGCUGAUGAAAAAAGGGGUGGUAAAUCGCCAUUAAUAGUCUCCAACAACGACCAUGCAUAACCACACAAAAUUGAAACAUAAUAAAAAUCCAAGAUAGAAAUUAUUAACAAAUUUAAGAUACAUAAUAUGAUCUCUUGGUUUGAAUUGACUGAGUAUGUCUCUUUCCAAAUUGGUUAGGAGAGCAGAUCUACUGAUAAACAAAGGUGGUAAAGAAAAAACAAAUUGAUUCAGGGAAAAAGGAAGAAUUGGAGAUCCAUGUGUUUUCUCAAGAGGAAAAAGAUAAGGGAUACAAAAUAAUGGAAUUAGAAAAAUAAAAAAGAUAGGCUAGCAAAACUGGAAAGCCAAAUCAAAAGGCAAUGCAGUUUUGUUUCGAUAUCAGUUCUUCCUUCUUAGAAACAAAAGACAAACCUAUAUUACUUUGCAAUAUAGCAGUGAAAGAAAAGAAAACAGUAUUUAAUUCUUAUAAUUUAUUGCUAUUCAGACAGCUUUUCUCUUGAUUGAAACCUUUUCUCCUGCAAAUCUUUGCUGGAACAGCCUAUCAUCCAAGCUUCCUUGCUUUUGUCCUCAUCUUGGUAGUGAACAGUCAAGCAUGAAUCAGGCAUAGUACCAUCCGUCCCUCUAACUUUCUAUACCCUAUCUAAUCCCCAAUCUCAUCAUACAGAAAUUUGGUUCUUCAAAGAUAGAUAUAUAAAAACCAUGUAACAAUAUAGACUCUUAAGAAUUGAAUCAGAAUUUGCAAUAUUCUUUAAGAAAACGGAGGAAUGCAAAUCCCUGGCCAUCUGAUAUCAUAUCUACCAAGAGGACAAUAGUCAAUUUCACAUGUUCAAUCAUAAAGAUUAAGAAAGCAUGUUCUAUGCAGUUAUGUAUUUAUGACAGCCACUUUCAUGGUGUUGUUAGAUGCUAACCUUUAUAGCAAACAAAUCUCCAGUAGCUCUUUUUCUGGCAAGGAAAACCCUUCCAAAGGCCCCUCUACUGAUUGGUUUUAUUAUUUCAAAAUCAUCUAUAGAGGUUCGGUCUUUGGAAGACAUGUUAACAGGACUUGUACGCAAACUGCGAACUGCAUCAUUUUCCUCAGAACUGUCUUCAUCAGCCAUCUGAUUUGAUGGGUCCGAUUUCUCAUCAUCUAUUUGGGUACAGAGAUGCACAUAUUUCUCCCUGUAGAUUUGAAGAAAAAGAAAUAUAAUAAAUUUUUCAAUGGUGAAGUACUCGGUAAACAACUUCGAAGUGAUGGUUGUUUAAGGUUAUUUUUACUGAUUCUAUUACUAAAAUUAUUUGAUUAGUUUUAAAAUUUUAAAGUUCGGUUAAUCAAAAUAAAUACACAAAUGAAUUCAAAAGGAUGCUAAUGAUAAGUAAAUUAAUCAAUUGUUGAAUGUGUGUCAAAAGAUGACAUUUUUAAGAAAUCUUCACAUAGCAAGAAAACAACCAUUAUAAAUUAUUAUGUGAAAGCUAUCCAUCAAUCUGUUUUAUAUUUUAGUGGACUUUUGAGUAAUUAAUAUCUUAAUAAUCAGAAAAAUUAAUAGAGUCCAGACUAAAAACCAACCAGAACACACAAACAGAAGAUGAAGCAAUAGGGUAACUAGAGCUAAAAGUAGGAUUCUUUUAGUUAUAGGAUAAGAUGCUAAGUUGAAUUACUAAAAAGAAAACUUCCUGAAGCUUCAUAUAGAUAACAAGGCUUGAACUUGAAAACUGACUUACAGAAGUAAUUUCUCUAUGCGUCUUCCAAAAGUCUCUACAAUGAGGGCAUCCACCUUCCUGUCCUGAACAGAAUAUUUUAGGUCUUCCAGACAGUCCAGCAUGCUCUCUAGUGCACUAUAGUCAUUGUCAUUUAGACUUGCAACAGAGCGAGCAAUAUCCAGUAGCUUGCUUAUCUGUCAUGCAACAGUAAAAUUUAGGAAAUAGAAACAAAGAGCUCAAUGAAAUAACAACAGUCAGUCAAAUGACCAUAUUCACUGAAAUUUCAUUGUGUGCUCAAUUUCACAACCUAGAAUGAAGAUUUGCAGUGAGAAGUUAAUUGACUGAGCCAUAUGUGUUCAGAUUUACUUUCACUUAAAUACAAGGUAUAUUGAACAGCAGGUAACAUGAAAUUAUGAUCUGCUGCUUAUGACACCAAAAUUAUCUGCAUUUGCCAUUUGUUAUUGGUUAUUAUAGAAAGGACAUAUCAAAGGUAGAAUACAACUGGAUCUGUAGGCUGUACGACCUGGAUGUGAUAACAAUUUUUUUAAUUUAAAUGCUUUCUUGUCAUUGCACACAUGCAUAUACUUCAAUUUACAUCAAGAAAUCUUUUUUCAUCAAGCAUCAAGGAAACCACAGAAAACCAAACUGCCAAAUUGUCUAAUUCUUUAUGGAUUGGAAACUACUAAGAACAUCUGUUUUUUCAGUGAUGAAAAAGAUAAAUUACUAAAUGUAUUAAUGGGUUUAUUUGUCUAAUAUAGGAAAAGAACCAUGUAGUAGAAACUUUAAAUAGUCAAAUUUGAAUUAUAGUAUUUGUCAGAAAAGGAAAGGAAAAAACAAACAAACAAACAAACUACUACUAGCCUGAUGCUGAACAAAAUUUACUUGGAAAAGGAUGGAGCAAUCUUGAGUGAGAGGCUGAAGGUAGAACCAAUGCACAAUUCUAGUGAUAAAGUUCUCUAGAGCUGAAGCCAUCUAAUUCGAGUUCACGAGAUUUUAAUCUUUCUACCAUGAAACAACUAAAAGAAUAUGACAACAAAAAAAAGCAAGGCUAGUAAUGAAAAUGAUUAUGGCAGAUACCAUACUAACAAAGAUAACCAAUAUAUAUUCAGAAGAAGAUCAAUCCCUAACCAGGGUGAAUCAUCCAGAACAACAGUUUAACACAACUACAUACCUGAUGACAACCCUCAAGUUCUGUUAUUGUCCUCUGUCCACUCAAUAGUAAACCAAUUUGGCUAGUCCGUGGAGUUAAUAAUGGUGAUCGUGGUGUCAAGCUUUCUCUUGAUGAGGUUAUUUUGUCUGCAUCAGGUGUUUGAGUGGAACGUGCUUCACAUGAAAUUUCUGGAAAAACAUUGAUAUCUUCCAUCACAAAAGAAUCAGGCACAACAUCAAGCAUCUCUUCAGAGCAGCAAGAAGAAAAGUUGUUUCGUUUUGGUGAUAACCCAUCUGACACCUCAUGAAUACCUGAUGUGGGCACUCUUUCAACCUCAGGACUUACUCUUGGAGUAUCACAUCUUUUUGGUGUACUUUUUGGUGUGGUUUUUUGUGACCAUGAGCGCAGUAUCUUUUCAAGAGUUUCUGCAACUCUUUCAAGUCUUUCAUUUACAGUAAAGCCUUUCAAGUCACAUCUGUCGGCAAUAGUACAAAUUAGAGAGUGUUCCUCUACAUGUACAAUCGGUAUUUCAACCUCACAGAUCCGGCAUAUCAUAGAAUUUUCAUAUGCAACAUUGUGUUGAUCCACCCAGAGUCCCCAAGAAACUCUUUUUGUUCCUGGGGAUGGAGGAUGGUCUGGAGUUUCAAGAUUUUCAGAAUAAUCAUCUCUAUCAAGUAGUGGUUCUGAUUUAUCCUUGAAAGGUGUUUGAACAACAUCAGUGUCCUUCCGAUUUUUCUCAGCAGCGGAUGGAAGUUUCCUCCAAGAUGACAUCUUAAAGCUGCUUGCAGUUGAAUCAACACUUUUUGCAGUGCCAACCUCCAAAGACUGAUCUACUUGAUCCUGCUUUGUAACUUGAGUGUCUUGUUCAAUACCACAGGAUUUCUUUCUCUGCUUCUCACCCGCUGUCUUCCAACCCACCAAUGGACCGCUAAAGUCCUGUUGUGCAAUUUCAAUAAUCUGUUCACGAUAAACUCCAAGAUCACUACAUUGAUGAAUGCCCAGAAUUUUGUCUUCAUCACAACCACUCUCUUUUUGGAACUGCACAAGCCUAGUGCAUCGAGUGAGGAUAAAUAAAAGCCGGGUGUGUGCUUGUUUGACAAUCCCCAUUGGAAGCUCUUGACGCUUAUCGUCUAGGUUCUGGACGAUACCCUCACCUUUCACCCAGAAUUCGUUAGAAGACAUCUUUGCACAUUGUCGAGCUACAACCAACAAGUCCUCCAAACUCUCUCUCCAUUUGGGGUGAGUGUCUGAGGUCUUUUCAAGUAUACCCACCAAAUCCCCAGCAAAUAUACCUAAAUCAGAAUCAACUUCCUCUUUUAACCUGAUGAAUUUCAUCCUGAUUGCCACCAUAACUUCCUAGUAUUGUCACAAAUCAAGUUAUUUCUACCAAACAAUCAAAUUUUCAAAGGAAGGCAAAUGGACAGCAAAUACAAACACAAAAAAAAAGGAACAGAAAGCACAAAGCCAAUGCACCUCCAUAUGACCAAAUGCGCGGGACUUCCAAACUGGAAAAGCCCUAACCCCUUUGGAAUUAAGCUCAUGAGAGAAGCUCUUAAUAUCCGGACUCUUCUUCAUCCUACCGCUUGUAACACGCAAUAUAGCUUGAAAACGCGGAGACUGGAUUUCCUUUGCAAAAAAUGCUGCAUGAUUACUCUGCCCAAAAAGAAAACACAAAUUUAAUUUAGCUUAGCCACUUAACAUGAACAUAUACACACUCUUAUCACACAUAUCAAACUACAACUAACAUGACCAAAUUCAUUACCUCCAUUGCUGGAUUGAGUUGCGAGUGAGCUCUAAAUGGUUUCGCUUCACCCCACGAAAUCUUUUUCCCUGUAUUUAAACCAAAAAAGAACUUAAUUAAACUACCAUAAAUCCUCCACUAACAAACACAUUACAAUUUAUUCCCUUUACUAAUCUACAGUUAUUAAAAAAAGAAUUAUUAAAUAUAGCAUUGAGUUCUUGCAUAAAAUUAACACUCAUAAAUAAAUUUCAUAGUGAAUUUUGUAAAAAACAAAUUACAAUUUCUGAUAUAUCUAAUAAUUUUUCGUGAAUCCCACACGAGCCUAACUCCUGAACUCAUGGUACGUGGGUCCCACAUGAAGGUAUAUAAAAGUCGUGAUGGAUGCAACUACACAUGAAUACAUGGGAUGGGUACCAUGCAAAAAUUAGCAAACAAUAAUUGAAAUCUGAAUUAAUCAUGUAAAAAAAAUUCAAAAUCACAUAAUUAGUUAGUUAGUUACCUUGUUCAAAGGACGAUCCAUUAAGCCUCGUGUCGACUCCAGUUUUAACCUCAUCAUCAUUAUUAUUAUUAACCUGAGCAUUCCCUAAAUACGACGGCGUAGCAGCUGACGACGAAAACCUAAGCGGAGAAGGAAUCGGAAGGGAACGUGUCCUUAUAUGAUUCAACCCGAGCGCCGACGCCAUAAUUAUUGGCGAAUUCUCGUCCGCUUUAUAAUUUCUCUUCUCCAAUUUCUCCUUGUCGUCAUUUUUAUCACCGCAAUCUGUGUCGUUGCCGUCGUCAUUGUUGAUUGAUUCGGUGUCGUUCAGUGGAGCCUCGGGUUUCUGGAUUCGGCGGAUUGGAAUGGGAGGGAUUUUUCGGAGUUUGAAAGAGGAAGGAGAUGAGGAGGAGGAGGAAUUGAGAGUCGAUGGUGAAGGAAAUGGCAUCGUUUUUAACGACGACGACGAUGAAGGAACUUCAUGAUGGUGAUUGGUUGUCGACAUGGAUGUAAAUCGGUACUGAUUGAAUCGAUCAGGUUCUUCAUUGCAUUGUGAGUGUAGAGUGAGAAUGUUAAGGAGAUAAAGCGAGAGGAUUUGACAGAGAGAGAAAACGUAGAAAGAGAAAGCGAGAGGAUUUGAAAGAUAGAGAAAGAGAGGAGAUUUUUGCGGGAAAUGGAGCUACAGAGGGUGACACGAUGCUGGGAGGUUUUCUGUUAAUUUUGUACGUACUUGCCGCGAAGAGAAUUUUUCUUUUAAUAGGCUACACUUCUGUUUUACCCCUAUAGUUUGGAAUUUUCAAUAUUGCCCUUCUAGUUUCUUAAAAAAACUUCAACGGUACUACCUUUUAUUUUAUUUUUUCUUUUUUAGGCUUUUAAGUUUUUUUAUGAAAUGUUAUAACGUAUAUGAGAAUUCUUUGUAGGAGACUAGCUUUACUUCUCAUUCUAUGCUGGAGAAAAAAUUCUUGACGUAACGAAAGUGCAUGACAUUUCAUCUGGUUCUAAGAAUCCAGAUCCGGCCACCACUGCAUGCGAUGCCCAGGAAAAUAGGAGCAGGGGUUUUGGGGUUGGGAAUUCAUUUUCCAACUCAUUUUCACCUUGAUUGUUGUAUAUUUUAUAUCAUAUGUUUGGGUGCUGAGAAACUGUGACAGAACCAGGGGAUUUGAAGAUUUUUUACGUGUGAUGUGAUGUUCUUAUGGUUCUUUUGUAUUGACAUGGUUUUAGUUCAAGUCAUCUAUAUCUUAUGUCAAAGCUUAAGUUUAGGUUUGAUUUAUGAAAGGUUUAGGUUAAUUUUUCAAAUUUAUGUUGUGUGUUAGGUGCGGGGAAUUGAUUAAUUAUAUCUCCACAAUGCCUUCAUCGGUUGAAAUUAUACGAGCCGUAGAAGAGAUUUUAGGCACGGUAGGUUCUUGAUCAUAUUGUAAUUUUUCAUGUUUGUUCUAUUGUUCUGCACUACUUUAUCAGUUAAUUUCAACCUCAUUAAUUCUUGGAGCAAUUAUGGUGUUUGAUUUGAUAGGUUUCUUCUGUUCGCCGUUCUACUCCACUCUGUGUAGAAACUCAUCCACCCAAGUUUUCCAUUUUCUUAUAACCCAUGAAUUUGCUUUUUUCCUCCUGUAUAUGUGUGUGAUUCUGUAGUAAUAUCUGUUUUUGUUAUACUGUAAUGUGUGCCCGGAAAUUUGUUGAGGAAGCUCACAAGGCAUUCGCAAGGGUUGAGGAAUAUGCAGAUGUGAGUGAUCUAUUUAGUUGUAUGAAGUUGCAUUUUAACACUAGCUUACUCCACAUGAUUAGUUGAAGCAAUUAUUUUAAUUAAAACAUAUAUCAGUUUCAUCAGCUAUUUCCUGUCACCACUUUUGCUGUGCAUGCUCACUCGUCGGCAUACAGCAUCUUGAUGGCAGUCGUGCUAUAUAUGCUGCGGUUAAAAAGGUAGAACAAGAGGGACAUUUACUCCCAAGGGAGGCUCUCGGGGCUGCAAACGCUUCUGAAAUGACUUUCUUGAUGGACCUGAUCUCCAUCCUGGUAUAUUCCUUGUCAUAGUUGGCUUUCUGAUGAAAAACAAACAAGCCAUUUUGCUUCUUCUUCCUCCUUUUUUUUUAGAGAAGCUGCAACAACUAGAAUCAGAAUGUGAUCGACUGUGUUGGGAUUUAAGUAUAGCAAAAGUUUUUUCGAUCCUCAAUCAGCUUUUUUAUAUCUUCAUGGGAUUUUCAUCUUAUUACAUCAAUGUGAUUGUGUGGUCCUAUUACAUAACUUUUGUAAGCACUCUCUGAUCAGGUUCGAUGAAAAUAUUAGGAAUGAUCUGGGUCGUGUGGAUAUACUUGUAUGGUGCAUGUUUUGCUGCAGCUAUAUGGGAAAAGAUAUGCAAGGAGGGUCCACUUUCAGUACUGGCCACGGGAACUGCUCUUGGAACUCUAAACUGUUGCAGCCUGGUGGAGCCAAAAACGCAGCUGAAUUGUUGAAGGAUCUAGCAGGGGAAGGGAUUGUGAGGGAAUAUGCAAUGGAGGAAUAGUUCCUGACGUGACGUCUUUUUGAGGAUUCAAAGUGGAAAAUGAGUGGAGAUAUACUGCACAUCGUACUGAUCCAAAAGUAAGAAAAACAUCAACAUCUGUAAGCAAGAAAAGUUCUGCUGCUUCUUAUGACCAAAAGAAGCAAAAAGAUCGAAGAAAUCUGUGGGAAAAGUGGGAAGCCCUAGGAAGGAAAAGGUUGAGAAAGUAGAAAACCAGGUCACAUUAUUCUAGUUGAUCCUACAGCUGUAAAUUCAAACAAGGAGGUUGAAUAUUUUUAUCGAUUCAUGAGUUAUAGAAACCAAAAUAAAUCUCAAGUUGCAUUCACUUCUCGUUUAUGGCUGCAAGAUUGUUUCCUUCUGUUGACUGUGGCUACAGAGAUCUAGGAUUUGCUAUUCCCUCUUAAAUGCAUUUUCUUACAAGCUAUGAUCAGGUAACAGAAAGAAUGCUCUCAGUUCUCUCUCCAAGUCAUCACCUGCCCUUUGUAGGAGCUGUCUGUAGGAUCAGAUGGCCAUGCUCUUUGCCGAGUCUCCUGGCAUAUGUGCUGUAGAAUUCUCCUAAUUUAUACUUUUAACUAACCAAGUGUUUGUCUGGAAAUGUAUCCUCAAUAUUUUUUAAAAGUGUUUUUUUUUAUUUAAAAUUAUAAAAUAAUAUUUUUUUAAUUUUAAUAUUAGCAUACUUAAUCUAUCAACAAACACUUUUCAAACAAUUUGGUGUUUUUUCAUAUGAAAAAUAACUUGAAAAACAGGUUGGAUUAAAAAAAAAAAAGAGCACUGCCCAUUCGUAUCUAUGUCGGUCUGUUCAGAUACAUCUCGUAAAAUUAGAACUAAACUAAUUAGGUCCUUAAUGUACCUCGAAGAAUCUUAAGUGGAUUCUUUUGUCGGCAGUUAGACACAGCAGUUUCUCAAUUGGCUUAAUAUAGACAACCCUAGGCACGUGUGUUGAUGAGAGGAUCAAAAUGAGAAUUCCUGGUUAUCUUGAGACAAAAUUAGAAAAUAAUAUAGAUUGGGGACCUAAUUGGAAAAUGUGUUAUAGAACAGUGAUUCAUUUGAGGUUAUCCGAAAAAUGAAUUCCUGCACCUUCCCUGACACGACGGCGUAACUUCUAAAUUUCAGACCUCAACAACCACACUCUUGAAAGCCUCUCCUCACCACCACCACCACCACCACCACCACCACGACCAAGCAAUGUCCGCCCUAAUCCGCCGGUAUGCGGCGGUGCUCUGUCACAAACGCAUGCUCAAACCAAACUAUCCGACUCUUGUCUUGACCUGCCACGUCAGCACCUGGGUCGCCCCUCAACUAAACGGAGCUGCCGCCACCACGGGACUCUACGGUUUUGAUCAUUUAAAAACCCCUAAAGGGUUUCAACGUUUUGUUGAUGAUGCCAUUGAAAGGUAACCAAAAACAUUAGAAAGUUCAAAAUUAUAAGACAAGUUUUGAACUUUAUAUUUUCUUGCAUGUGUUUGGUUACUGAGAAAAUGUGAGAAAUUGAAGGGAUUUGAAAGCUUUUGUUAUGUGAUUAGUGUAAUUUGAUGCUAAAGCUGAAAUGGGUUAGGUGAAAGUUUAAAUGGUAGUGAAAUUGGGUAUUGUAUGUAAAGUUGCUUUCUUUUGGUUUCUUUAUUGAACUUUAAGACAUUUUUUUAGUCUGAAUUCUGGUUGUGUAUAAUGGGGGUUUAAUACGUAUAUUAUACAAUGAUGAGGUUGUAAAGCAUGAAAUUUUCAAGUUUUUUUAUUUCUUGGCAAUUGAGAAGAAGGGUUUAAGAUAUCAUUUAGUUUUAUAUCAUACAAUUUUAUUUUAUUUUGAAGUUUUGACCUCGAAUUUAAAUUGAGUUUUGGAGAAUGUUUUAAGUUGAAUUUCAUGUUUGUUAGGUCAGGGGAGCUGGUUAAUUAUAUUUCCAGUAUGCCUUCCUCGGCUGAAGUUUUACGAGCUAUGGAUGAGAUUUCUAACACGGUAAUCUCGUCGCUCAGUGCAUUAUUGCAUCCUUGUUAUGUUGUUCGUGUUAUUAGUUAUUGGAAUGAUUGUGGUGUUUUUAUUUGAAAGGUAUGUUGUGUUGUGGAUUCUGCGGAACUUUGUAGAAAUACUCAUCCAGACAGGUUUUUUUUUCUGUGACUUGAGUAUUAACUUUUAUCAGAACAUGUGUCUCAUGUAGUAGAUGUGCUUAAUAUUUGUUAUUCACUGAUAUGUGUCAGGGAAUUUGUUGAGGCAGCUGGUAAGGCAUCGAUGAGGAUUAAUGAAUAUCUACAUGUGAGGUGACCAAUUAUGUAUUUGGUAUUUGAAUUGCUUUAACAGCUUGCCUUGUAAUUUGGUUCUAUUCUUGUCUAGUAAGUCAAUUAGCUAUUUCUUGACUUUGGCAUGCACUCCUCUGACAGUACCUCAAUACGAAUCAUACUUUAUAUGCUGCGGUGAAAAGAGCAGAGAAAGAUGGACAUUUGCUCACAAAAGAGGCUCAUAGGGCUGCCAAUCAAUUACGUAUUGAUUUUGAGAAGGGCGGGAUUCAUCUCCCUCCUGGUAUAUACCCUUUUUUUGUUGACUUUCUGUACCACUGCCUGUAAAACAUUUUCUUCUAUAGAAGAUAAACAUAUAAAUUUAAGUUAGAUAGAGUUAUUAGCUGUUGACUUUAAGUUAUGUUGUGGUCAAAUUUUCCACUUAUAAAAUUUUACUUGCACAGAUCAUGAACAUAUUAAUUUUGCUUUGCAGAGAAGUUAGCUAGAGUGAAUCAGCUCCAUUUAAGCAUCCUUCAGCUAAGUAGAGAGUAAGUAUAGCAUCACUUUUGCUCAAUUGGCUCUUCUAUAACUCAAUCAGCUCAUUGAUUUGUUACAUCUAUUUACUUUGGUUAUUUAUCCUGUUUUAUACCUUUUGUGCAUAUUCUGUCAGGUUUGGUGAAAAUAUUACUAUUGAUCCAGGUUAUGUGGAUAUAUUUCCAGCAUCUCGCAUCCCAAAACACAUACACCAUCUCCUAAAACCCGUUCACCGUUUUACUUCUGGAAGUUCCUCGGGAUCAUUAGGGUCAUGGAAUAACAUGAAAGAAAAAGGACUGCGAAUAACAACAGAUCAUCGUACGCUAGUUUCUGUGAUGCAUUGGGUCUCAGAUGAAGAGGUACUUUCAUCUUGUUGGUUACAAAUACUUGGCAGUCUUGUUUUCUUCCUGUUUGGAAAGUUGAGUUUGUGUGAUGUGUCUUCUUGCUCCUGGAUUUUACUAUUUGUUGCUUUGAUAUUCUAGUCAUUAUUGUACAAAUGAAAUUACUCAGACCGGUUAGGUUACAAAAUAGAAGAAAAUUGACAUAUCUUGACUUGUUAACAUAUCUAUAUAAGUGUGUGAUGUACAUGCUUCUCCAUUGCUAUUGCUAAAUUUCAUAGUUCUUUUCCUUAUUUUUUUUAAUUUUAUUUUCAGGUUAGGAAGAUGGCAUAUAUCCAAGGAAACUCUGUACCACAUGCAAACCUUGAAGUACUUGAUAAGCUUGCUGCAGCUCGUCAUGAACUGGCCCAGGUUGUUAUCAGUAUCUGAAGUGUUUGAAAAUCAUGUAUGAUGUAAUCAGGCACUGAUCAUCUACACAAGUGGUUGCAUUUGAAAAGUAAUUUUAAGCAUUUGAUUUUCUUAUUCUGGCAUCUAUGUGAAGACCUUGGAUUUACUGUCUUGGAGAAGUCAUCCCUCCAAGAUUGGGUUGUUUCUUCAGUCUUUUUAUGUUCAGUGUGAACCCCAAAUAGGGCAUGGCAUAAAGGCUUCUUGAGGAUAUAUACUCAGUUCAGAAUUUUGUGUCUCUAAUCAGCAUGCAUUUUGUUUUACCAAACAGAAAUGGUGAUGCUUUAGCAAUUAAAACUUUAGAAAUCUAUGUUAUUGUUUUGAAUUUUGACGUUAAUCCUGCAGUUCAAAACUAGUUAAAUUUUUACUUGGUCAAUGCAGAUGAUGGGAUACAGAUCUUAUGCUGAAUUUGUUGUGAAACCAAACUUGGCUUCAUCACCUGAGGUUGUGAUUUCAUUUCUGCAUGAAAUGAGCAAGAUGGUUAGGCCAAGGGCUGAUGAGGUAUUCUGUUCUCUAUAGUUAUAAUGUUGAAGAGUGGAUUAGAAUACUUUGUCAUUGUGGUUGGAGUCACAUUUUUUGAACUCAAAUGAAUAGUCGAUCUCCCUGUAGGAGUUUGAGGCAAUUAGGAAUUUUAAGAGAGAGAAAUGUGGUCAAAGAUGUAUUGAUUUGGAGCCCUGGGAUGAGACGUACUAUACAGCAAUGAUGAAAUCCUCUGCUCAUAAUUUGGAUUCUUCUGUAAGUCAUACCCAUCUGAUUUUUAUUUAUGUUAUUCUUUUUCAUGAAUAGAUAUCCUCAUGGUUGCCAUUGUGAAUGCAGAGUGGUAACUUUCCAAAGUUGAAGUAUUUGACCUUUAUAUUUUCAGUAUAGAGCCUGUUUUCUGAUAUCCUUCUCCGUCACUCUUUCAAAUGACAGGUUUUGUAUCUUGAUAUUUUUUCCUAUUUGAUGCAGAUUGUAGCCUCAUAUUUUCCUCUGCCACAAUGUAUUGAAGGUUUGAAAGUGCUGGUCAACUCAUUAUUUGGUGCAAUGCUUCACAACGUCCCCAUGGCACCAGGUGAAUCGUGGCACCCUGAUGUGCUUAAAAUGUCUCUUCAUCAUCCUGAAGAGGUAUAUACAUGGAAGAUUUUAAGUCCAGAUUUAUGAAUAUUGUAAACCAUUCUAACAAAAGUAAUGAUAAUUCUGUAGGUGUAUAUAUAAUUCAUAUUUUCUCUUGCCCUGUUCUCAUGUGUGUGUGUGUGUGUGUGUGUCUAGUACAUCGAAUUAUACAUGAGUUCGACCAGUUAACAUGUUUCCACAUGGAAGAUUUUAAGUCCAUAUUUAUGAAUAUUGUAAACCAUUCUAACAAAAGUAAUGAUAAUUCUGUAGGUGUAUUUAUAAUUCAUAUUUUCUCUUGCCCUGUUCUCAUGUGUGUGUGUGUGUGUCUAGCACAUUGAAUUAUACAUGAGUUCGACCGGUUAACAUGUUUCCACGUUUAUUCCUGGUGAGUCCAUGAUGACAAUAUAUCCUACUAUUGUCAAAACAUCAGUUCCCCCUCUCCAGAAUUAAGAAAAUUCAUGCAUAACCCAUCAUAAUUGGAUUACUAAACCUUCUUUAAAUUAAGCUCCAUUUCGAAUCUUUGGUAACAGCACCCAAAGGGAUACAAAAACCAUUCAGUUUUAUGGUUAACCCAUGUUGGACUUGUUUGAGUCAAAGAGUAUUGAGAUCUUACUUCAGUACAGUGGAGUUGAAACAAACACAUUCUUUAGUAUCAGUAAAUAAAAUGCUACUUCUCACUCGGAGACAUUUAUCCAGCCAGGCCAGUUUCUGUACUCUCUUCACGUGGCUAAAUGUCUUGAAGUUUGAACUCUUGCUGCCUUGACUCUGUCUGAUGUUCAUACAAUCGUUCAGAUCAUUUCAUGUUAUUUUAGAUGCUGCCAUUGAUCUGCCAUUUCAGUAAAAUGAUUAAAAAGUUGAUCAGUUACUUUUUACUGCCAAAUUUCAUGAACUUCUCAAUAAAUCCUUACUUUCUGGCAACAUCCACAGGCAGCUUUUUUUUACCAUUUCUGUAGGCAUAAAAUACAGUUUUUAUUUAUGCUCAUGUGAUUUGACAUUGUCGAAUAUAGCUGAGGCAUUAUAUUAUUGUUUCAGGGUGACUUGGGAUAUCUAUACCUUGAUUUGUACUCCAGGAAAGGAAAAUAUCCAGGUUGUGCUAACUUUGCUGUUAAAGGAGGCUGCCGCAUUUCUGAGACAGAAUACCAACUUCCUGUAUGCUAAUAGAUUUUGUCAUUCUUGGUCAAAGCAUUCUUUUGUUUUUCCAAAUAUCAUAGAAUGUAGUACUUUCAUAGUUUGGCAAUUAAUUUUAAUUUGGAAUUCCGACUUUUGCAAUUGGAAAGUUCUACCUGAGUACAUAAAUAAGAAUGUUCUCGUGUUGGAAUUUUAUUAAGACCAGAGAAAGAUGAACUUAUAACUAACCCUGGCUUUCCCUAAAUAUUCCCUUGAUGAAGCUUUUUUUUUAGUAUCUGGUCCAUCAUGCUAGGGCUGUUGAAUGUUCAGUUAAUAGGUAUCAUUCUUCAAUAUUCACUUUUUUACCUGGAGCACGUAGGUUGGUGGUUUAUGAUAAUUAUGUAAACUUUUAGAAAGUAUAAACUCUUGGGUGAAUUUUUGUAACUAAAAGUGGGUGGUUAAUUAUGUAGAGCUGUGGUUUUGUUCAUUUGCUAAAAGAUUUAAGCAUGAAAUUAUGUUUUACACCUAAACUGUAAAUUUUAGAGAGAAUUUUUCCAUAGAUUCACUGAAGAUUGAUUCAGUUUUUUUUCCCCUUCUCAUUUAGCUUAGUAUUGGUUAUACUGCAGGUUGUGGCCCUUCUUUGCAAUUUUUCUGGUUCACCUGGCUCAUCAACCGUGAGACUUAAUCAUGGUGAUGUAGAAACUCUAUUCCAUGAGUUUGGACAUGCUCUCCAUUCAUUGUUCUCGAGAACGGUAUAUUGUUGUAGCUUACUGCAAAGUGAAGUAAUAUGGCCAUCGAUUUAUGCUCAAUUACAAUCAUCUCUUGAUUAUUGUUGUAGGAUUACCAACAUUUCUCAGGCACCAGGGUGGCUCUUGACUUUGCUGAAAUGCCUUCAAACCUCUUUGAGUGAGUAGAAUAUUGCAAUUUCUUAAUUGCCAUCCACCUUUUCUUCUUGUUUUUGUUGUUUGGAGUAUCUCCAUUGCUUUCGGAGAUUAUAAUACUGUUGAUACAUUAAAUAAAAAUUGGUUGGAUAGUUCAUGUUUUUAGGUGAUUUGAUCAUAUAUGGGUGUCCUGAAAUCAUUUUUAGCCAAUAAGAAUGCUCUAUCAAGAGUUGGUCCCAAAAGAAACUGUCUGAUGUCUCAAUUUGGCUCAGCAGCGUGUGACAUGAAAAUACAAUAAGAAUAAUUAUGUUUCCCGUCAUCAUUUGCAUCCACCAUUCCCCCUCUUUCUCGCAGUUAUAAUUGCUUUCAGAUAUCUUAGAAUUUCGUGAUUGUGUCAUUUCAUAUGCAUCAUAAUAAAUAUUCCAAGAUUUUUAAUGAAUCUCUUCUAACUUCCUUCUUGAAGUAAUCCAUUUGAACUCCAAUAUAUUGGAGAAUAUCUCACUUAUAUAACUCUUAACUUCCUAAGUUGGUGUACCUCAUACUCACCGCCGCCUCUAUCCCAUUCAAAGUUCUAACAUGGCUGGAAAUAACCUGUCCCAUGCUUAUAUUUAUGUGUGUGAGCACUGAGAGUGAGUUUAUUGUGUUUGUGGUAAUCAACCUGAAAUUUCUCUUGGUGUCAUUCCUAGGUACUAUGCCUGGGACUACAGAGUAUUAAGGACAUUUGCAAAGCACUACUCAACUGGUGAAAUAAUACCUGAGAAGUUGGUGAAGUCCAUGCAAGGUGCCAGAGAUAUGUUUGCUGCAACUGAACUGCAACGCCAGGUUUAUUUUCCUAAGAAUGGUUCCUGUUAGCACAUUUUAUAUACAAGCAAAGAAAAAAGUUUUACCAAAUUUUGUUUGCUCAUGGUGUUAAAUAGGUUUUUUACGCAUUGGCUGACCAAACACUCUUUGGAGAACAACCAGCUUCACCCAAUGAUAUGAGCUCUAUUCUUGCUGAAUUCAAAAUGCAGCACACCAGCUGGAAACAUGUGGAGGGUACAAAUUGGCAGAUCAGAUUCAGCCAUCUUGUAAAUUAUGGUGCAGGUGUGAUCUUUGAGCACAUGAAUUUUCUGUGUUGAUAAUUAUGUGUUUGAAUUUGUUUGCUUCCAUGUGCAUGGACAUACACUGUGUGCGAAAAGUUUUUGUGCAUCAAUGUGAUCCGAAGUCAUAAAUUACUUGAGAAUAACAAGCCAUUAGGCUUGGCUCAAGCGCCAUCCCCCAACCCAAAACACAUGAUAAGUUGUAAACAAUAUAAUACUUCAAAGAUGCUUCUCGAGCAAAGUUUAAUAUCAGUUGAUGCAGUUCUGAGAUGAUUUUUGUUUGAUCUGUGCAGGUUAUUAUAGCUACUUGUAUGCAAAAUGUUUUGCUGCAACCAUAUGGAAAAAGUUAUGCCAAGAGGAUCCACUUUCAUUAACUGCAGGAACUGCUCUUCGAACAAAAGUGUUGCAGCAUGGUGGAUCCAAAGAACCAGCUGAAUUAUUAAACGAUCUGGUAGGGGAAGGGAUUUUAAAGCAUUGUGAUGGAGGGAUCGUUCCUGACAUUACAUGUUUCUUGGAAGAAUCAAGGUUGGUAGUUGGUAGGAGAUGAGUAGGAGCCAUUCUGCUUGUAACCAACCAAAAUAAAUCUCAAGGGAAGCAUGGGAAGAGAAUAGUUGUGUAUGGAAGAUACAAGAUGUUAUGUCAUGUGGAAGAUGAUAGAGCCAGGAAUGGCAGGGUAAUUGCGAGCAACCAAUCACCAGAAGUUGUCAAGGUAAGCCUGUCCUGGCAGUCCUGUUGAAUUUGAGAAAAAUAGCACAAUCAUUUAAGCACUCACUAAUACCUGGCAUGGACUGAGAUGUGAAUGAGCGCAGCUCUUUUUUAAUCCUUGCUUUGAUCUCAUCUGACAAACAGAUUAAAGUGUUUGUAGAUGUUAGCUAUUUGAUGUAAUUUUUUGUUGUAAUUGCAAACAAAGAGGCGGAAUUUCACUGAUUUUUUGAAUAAUAUUAACUAAAAAAAUUCGAGUGGAUUAACUUGAUAUAGCCUUCUGCUCCUUUGGCUCCUAGCUGAUUUCUUUCUGUAGAGCAUGGUUUUUUAUAUAGCCUUCAUCUCUUUCCAAUUACUUAUCUUUCUUAAUUCAUUAAAAAAAACAAAGAAAUAGCAUUUAAAUUCUUCAUCUUGGUUUUUGAUACUUGGCUGAUAUUUUUCAUGUUCAAUGGUUUUGCAUGGUGAUAGUACACAUCCUUUCAGAAGAACUGUCUGCUCCCAAAAAGAGGAUUGAAGUGCUCGAUUUUUCUUAAAUGCUUCUUCCCAUCCCCUACUUUUUGAACCAUUGCAACAAUGAAGAGAGUUGAUGUCAGAAUUGGACUUAAUUUUUUUGACGGAUGGUAAGAACUUGUCAAAAGGACUGAUGUUCUUUACACAGGCAUUUGUUUGUUUUGGGUAUUGUUUGAGAUUAUAAUAGUACUUAUUUUUUAAAAUGUUUUUUAUUUAAAAAAAUAUUUUUAAGAUUAAAACAUUUGAAAAAAUUAAAAAAAUAUUAAAGAAAAAAAUUUAUUUAAAAAAAAAAACACGGUGUCAUCACUAAUCACUAAACCAGGCACUGCCUAUAACCAAGUCAUUGGUGCCUGUAUCCGUAGCCUACUUGCAAUGGAACAAAUAUCACUUCAGUUACCUGAUUUUAGAAACAAAAAAUGUUAUCUAGGUACUGAAUCCAAGCAUGUAUUAUUUACACUAUUUGUUAUGAUAUCAAAUAUACCCCGCAUUCAGGGAUGGGGUCAAAGAAUCAAGGAAGAAUAUAAUAACGAGGGAAAGAAAAUGAUGUCUCCUCUGUGCUAGGCAGCUAUGUACAAACUAUGAACAGUCUUGAGAGACAUCUCUACUAGGCAUGCGUCGCUAGAAACAAGGAUAUAGCUCUUAGCAUUUCACUGAGUUUUCUGCAAGGCGAACGGCAGUAAAAAAGGAAAUCCCUGCAACAUUUGGAUGUGAACUGGAAGAACAGUGUGGAAAUAGAUGGAUACUUACAGUUGGAUAACAAUUCUUUGUUAUGCUUCCGGUUCCAGUGUUCAACCCAGCCAUGUUGCCCCUGAAUUCGGUCUCUCAUGGAACAUCUUUACAUUACUAACAAACAUCAAGAUCUCUGAAGAAAUUACUGUGCAGUGCAAAUAUUUCCGGCUGAACAGAACUCAAAGAGGCAACUUGGAGGACACUGAAAAGUCCAGCACCGUUGGUAAGGACAGCAGACUGAGCUAAAGCAGGCAAAAGAACGCAACAAGAGCUAAAAAUAGCCUGGAGAUAGAGAGCAACAACCAUUAGAUGAGCGUUAAACAGCAACUAAUAGUCAAGUAGAUGAGUUUUCGGAUGAGUAAACGGCGAACUAGAACAGGAACAUACCACCAAUAGAGAUGCAUCGGUUCACCAAGAACUUCGAUUAUAAAAAUCUCUCGUAAAUUCAGCCUGCAAAAGUUCAGUAUAUAUGGCUUCUCUGAUUUUUUCAAAUCCUAGAACUGUGAUAGCCUAACUCAGUUCUCAUUUUCGACAAACUGUGUAUAUUGUCACGGUAGUGCUCCAAAAAUGCACCGAGACCAUGAAUAAGAAGAUUUGCAGGACCUAGAUGGCCAAAAACUGUACUGAAAUAGGAACAUUAUCUUAAAAAGAAUGCAGAAAUCUAUUAUCUGAUCUUGGCUAACAUAUUCUCCAGAAUAAAAUGCAUAAAAACGAGCUGCAAAGGGAGUUAGAGAAAAUCAACAUGAUUGAAUCAGUUUUCAGCUGCAAAUCUGAUCAUGUUUCUACGUACUGUUAGCUUUGGUGGGAUUUCAUGUUUAGCUUACCUAAGAAGGCAAAAGAAAUGUAAGUCAACGGAGAGGGAACCCACAAGAUGCAAUCAGAGUUGUAGAGAACAUAUAAUUUAUGGUCAGAGGAUGACAUUGAUGUGGUCGGUACACCAUGCCACCAUCAAUCUUUCUUAAGAUUGUGGCAAGCAAUAUUAUCGAUUUUCACCCAAAAUACGUUCACUGGUAAAAGCAAAGGAAAUAAUGCACAUCCUUAUUGUCAAGACACCCACUUGCUAUUUCUUUCCUUCCUGUUUUCUGUGUUUUCAAGCAAACUAGUUGUUGCAACAGUGUUUGUUCCUCUCUCUCCACUGAUUUCCCUUUACCUUCGAAGUAAGAUAAGCCAUUUAACAGCUAAGUUUCUGAACUAAAAUUGUACAUUACACCUAACUCUAAUCUUCCACCGCUAUAAUUAUAAAAACCCUCUCCGUCCCCUCUCUAUGCAUCAAACACUAGUAGCUAGUAGCAGCAAUAUAGCCCACCUCAUCCAAAAACCACUAAAAUGGUGCCACAAUUUCUGUUCUCAGCUUCUUUUAUUCUAUUCUUCCUUCUUCAUUGCCCUCCAACCCUAGCUCAGUCACCAGCUGCAGCCCCAGCACCACCCGGUCCAACCAAUGUCACCAAAGUCCUAGAAAAAGGUGGUCAGUUCAGCGUUUUUAUCAGGCUUUUGAAAGCCACUCAAGAGGAUGUCACAUUGAAUGGCCAGCUCAACAACACAAACAAUGCUAUAACCAUCUUUGCACCUAGCGAUAACGCAUUUUCAAGUCUCAAAUCAGGCACCCUCAACUCCCUAAGCGAUCAAGAAAAGGCUGAGCUAGUACAGUUUCACAUUAUACCACAAUUUCUAUCAAGUUCCCAGUUCCAGACUGUGAGCAACCCUCUGACCACACAAGCAGGAUCAGGUGGCAGGUUAGAGCUUAAUGUAACCACCACAGGAAACUCUGUGAAUAUAACCACAGGGCUUACAAAUACAAGCGUAUCCGGCACUAUCUACACUGAUAACCAGUUAGCUGUUUAUCAGGUUGACAAGGUGCUUCUUCCUCUUGAUAUCUUUACACCUAAACCUCCUACUCCAGCACCAGCACCUGAAAAGCCAAAGAAGAGAUCCAAAGCUGCAGCGAGUCCAGAAUCUCCUGCGGAUACUUCUGGGGCAGUAAGCUUUACUGUUCUGAACAAUGUUGUGUUCUUUGGAGUUUGCAUGGUUGCAGCAAUAUAUUCUUUGUGACACAGAAGGUUUUGAUGAGGUUAUUGCAUGGAUUGCUCU